rnacentral:rRNA from 1 species
UGGGGAAUAUUGGACAAUGGGCGAAAGCCUGAUCCAGCCAUGCCGCGUGAGUGACGAAGGCCUUAGGGUUGUAAAACUCUUUCGUCGGGGACGAUAAUGACGGUACCCGAAGAAGAAGCUCCGGCUAACUUCGUGCCAGCAGCCGCGGUAAUACGAAGGGAGCUAGCGUUGUUCGGAAUCACUGGGCGUAAAGCGCACGUAGGCGGAUAGUUAAGUCAGGGGUGAAAUCCUGGGGCUCAACCCCAGAACUGCCUUUGAUACUGGCUGUCUCGAGGUCGAGAGAGGUUGGUGGAAUUCCUAGUGUAGAGGUGAAAUUCGUAGAUAUUCGGAAGAACACCAGUGGCGAAGGCGGCUCACUGGACGUGUAUUGACGCUGAGGUACGAAAGCGUGGGGAGCAAACAGGAUUAGAUACCCGAGUAGUCCCUGAGCGGGCUGGCAAGGCGCAU